ACUGAAAGAGGUGCGCUGCACUUUCCGCAAUGUCGAUACACAUACGUUAUUAGCCCAGCAAUGCUACCGUAUUCAUUGCUGUCCGUGUAACAGGGAGCGAAUCGAUAACGGCUCUCGCAGGUAGGAUCGUACGGCGAAGCCUUUGAACACGUUGCGUUUAGUCUCGAGGAAUCGGUAUACGUAGUACGUUAGCUGGUAACAGAGGCCAUUUGUGCACCCGGCCAUUUCUGUCUCGUAUCUUUAUGCCUCUGAGAUGCGAGCAACGAUAUCCAAUAUUUCCGCACCGCGCCCUGUGCCGCAUCUUCGGCUUAAGGCCACUGCUGCAGCUUCCAUUGGGAUCGUUAAUCCACAGUAAAUAUUAUCGUACAUGAAACUACGUGUCGCGGAGUGAAAGUAAGCGCGCACUAAAGAGUAAGUACAGGAGACUCGCAGUCAAGGAGGAUACGGAGGCGGCCAUGACAGUUACUAGUAACUCGCUCUGGCGUCGUCGAUUGGAAUUACUGACGCACACGACUUAACGGCAAAUUCAAAAUGGCAUCUCGCGUUCUAGCAACGCGGGUGUUUUCAAGAUUCUUUGGAGCUUAUCUUUGAUUGAGAUUGGAAUUAAGAGCUUCUUAUUUUCCUUCUCGACUGUAGGAUUUACUAUGGCAGUCGGAAGAGAUGCUGCGGAAGUAUCGACUCCACUGGCUGUCGUCUCGGCUAUGCUUUCAAAAAGUUUAUAUCUAUCUGCCACCGGCGUGUCGUACUUCAAACAACUUUCCGUUCCAACUAACAGGAAAGUUCGUAAGGGCUGAGAGGCGACCGAGAAAGAAGGCUCGUGGUAUUCUAUCAAUUCGAGGCGUGUGCAGUCCUCGAAAUACGACUGUUUCAAAUCUACGAUCGAAGAGAGAGAGAGAGAGAGCUAAAUCUUCUUUUACUAUUUUCCAACAACUUCCGGUCGUUGGUUCGUCGACUUUGAAAACUUGAAAGUUUACCCGAGCUACAUUAAAUUGCUGGGUUAUCCCAGCAAUUGUAGUACCAGGCAGAAUUUUAGUUUUACAAAUAAAACUUAAUCGACCAGUACGUAUACAGAUUUACAA